GGGCGUGUGGCUCAGUUGGUAGAGCGUUCGCUUAGCAUGCCCGCUUAUAUGCGAAAGGUCCUGGGUUCGAUUCCCAGCCCGUCCA